GGACGGUUAGCUCAGCGGUAGAGCGUUCGCUUCACACGCGAAAGGUCACAGGUUCAAUCCCUGUAUCGUCCA
rnacentral:tRNA from 1 species